UACGUAGGGGGCGAGCGUUGUCCGGAUUUAUUGGGCGUAAAGAGCGCGUAGGCGGAGCGUUAAGUCUGGCCUGAAAGCCCCCGGCUCAACCGGGGAAGGUGGCUGGAAACUGGCGUUCUUGAGGGCGACAGAGGAGAGUGGAAUUCCUGGUGUAGCGGUGAAAUGCGUAGAUAUCAGGAGGAACACCCAUGGCGAAGGCAGCUCUCUGGGUCGGACCUGACGCUGAGGCGCGAAGGCGUGGGGAGCGAACGGG
rnacentral:rRNA from 1 species